rnacentral:rRNA from 1 species
AGUGAACGCUGGCGGCGUGCUUAACACAUGCAAGUCGAACGAGAACGGAAUAUAGCUUGCUAUAUUUGUCAGCUAAGUGGCGCACGGGUGAGUAAUGUAGAGAUAACCUGCCCUUAAGAAAGGAAUAACAGUUGGAAACGACUGCUAAUGCCCUAUAUGCCUUUAAUACAUAAGUAUGCAAGGGAAACGCUUUAGUGCUUAAGGAUGGGUCUGUAUGGUAUCAGCUUGUUGGUGAGGUAAUGGCUCACCAAGGCUAUGACGCCUAACUUGUUUGAGAGGAUGAUCAGUCACACUGGAACUGAGACACGGUCCAGACUCCUACGGGAGGCAGCAGUGGGGAAUAUUGCACAAUGGACGAAAGUCUGAUGCAGCAACGCCGCGUGGAGGAUGACACAUUUCGGUGCGUAAACUCCUUUUAUAUAGGAAGAUAAUGACGGUACUAUAUGAAUAAGCACCGGCUAACUCCGUGCCAGCAGCCGCAGUAA